rnacentral:rRNA from 1 species
CUGCGGAAAGGAUCAUUA